CGCGUAGGCGGGUGCUCAAGUCUGUGGUGAAAUCCUCCAGCUUAACUGGAGAACUGCCAUGGAUACUGGGUGUCUCGAGGAAGAUAGGGGUAUGCGGAACGAUUGGUGGAGCGGUGAAAUGCGUUGAUAUCAAUCGGAACUCCGGUGGCGAAGGCGGCAUACUGGAUCUUUUCUGACGCUGAGGCGCAAAGCCAGGGAGCAAACG
rnacentral:rRNA from 1 species